rnacentral:rRNA from 1 species
GAUGAACGCUGGCGGCGUGCCUAAUACAUGCAAGUCGAGCGAACAGAUGAGGAGCUUGCUCCUCUGACGUUAGCGGCGGACGGGUGAGUAACACGUGGAUAACCUACCUAUAAGACUGGGAUAACUUCGGGAAACCGGAGCUAAUACCGGAUAAUAUAUUGAACCGCAUGGUUCAAUAGUGAAAGACGGUUUUGCUGUCACUUAUAGAUGGAUCCGCGCCGCAUUAGCUAGUUGGUAAGGUAACGGCUUACCAAGGCAACGAUGCGUAGCCGACCUGAGAGGGUGAUCGGCCACACUGGAACUGAGAAACGGUCCAGACUCCUACGGGAGGCAGCAGUAGGGAAUCUUCCGCAAUGGGCGAAAGCCUGACGGAGCAACGUCGCGUGAGUGAUGAAGGUCUUCGGAUCGUAAAACGCUGUUAUUAGGGAAGAACAAAUGUGUAAGUAACUAUGCACGUCUUGACGGUACCUAAUCAGAAAGCCACGGCUAACUACGUG